rnacentral:rRNA from 1 species
AGAGUUUGAUCCUGGCUCAGGACGAACGCUGGCGGCGUGCUUAACACAUGCAAGUCGAACGGUGAUCCCCAGCUUGCUGGGGUGAUCAGUGGCGAACGGGUGAGUAACACGUGAGCAACCUGCCCCCGACUCUGGGAUAACUCCGGGAAACCGGGGCUAAUACCGGAUAUGACAUCGCCUCGCAUGGGGUGGUGUGGAAAGUUCUUCGGUCGGGGAUGGGCUCGCGGCCUAUCAGCUUGUUGGUGGGGUGAUGGCCUACCAAGGCGACGACGGGUAGCCGGCCUGAGAGGGCGACCGGCCACACUGGGACUGAGACACGGCCCAGACUCCUACGGGAGGCAGCAGUGGGGAAUAUUGCGCAAUGGGCGAAAGCCUGACGCAGCGACGCCGCGUGAGGGAUGAAGGCCUUCGGGUUGUAAACCUCUUUCAGCAGGGAAGAAGCGAAAGUGACGGUACCUGCAGAAGAAGCACCGGCUAACUACGUGCCAGCAGCCGCGGUAAUACGUAGGGUGCAAGCGUUGUCCGGAAUUAUUGGGCGUAAAGAGCUCGUAGGCGGUUUGUCGCGUCUGCUGUGAAAACGCGGGGCUCAACCCCGCGCCUGCAGUGGGUACGGGCAGACUAGAGUGCAGUAGGGGAGACUGGAAUUCCUGGUGUAGCGGUGGAAUGCGCAGAUAUCAGGAGGAACACCGGUGGCGAAGGCGGGUCUCUGGGCUGUAACUGACGCUGAGGAGCGAAAGCGUGGGGAGCGAACAGGAUUAGAUACCCUAGUAGUCC